rnacentral:rRNA from 1 species
UACGUAGGCAGCAAGCGUUGUUCGGAGUUACUGGGCGUAAAGGGUGUGUAGGCGGUCUUCUAAGUUUGGUGUGAAAUCUCCCCGGCUCAACUGGGAGGGUGCGCCGAAAACUGGAAGGCUAGAGUACUGGAUGGGAGAGUGGAAUUCCUGGUGUAGCGGUGAAAUGCGUAGAUAUCAGGAGGAACACCUGUGGUGUAGACGGCUCUCUGGACAGUAACUGACGCUGAGACACGAAAGCGUGGGGAGCAAACAGG